GAUGAAGAACGUAGUGAAAUGCGAUACUUGGUGUGAAUUGCAGAAUCCCGUGAACCAUCGAGUCUUUGAACGCAAGUUGCGCCCGAAGCCAUUAGGCCGAGGGCACGCCUGCCUGGGCGUCACACGUCGUUGCCCCCCCAUCUACUCCUUCGGGAUUGCGGGGGGCGGAUGAUGGCCUCCCGUGCGCCUCGUCGCGCGGUUGGCAUAAAUGCCAAGUCCUCGGCGACGCACGCCACGACAAUCGGUGGUUGCGAAACCUCGGUUGCCCGUCGUGUGCGGUCGUCGCGCAUCGAGGGCUCGAAAAAAUUGCCGGGCUCCGGCUCGGCUUUCAACGCGACCCCAGGUCAGGCGGGGUUACCCGCUGAAUUUAAGCAUAUCAAUAGCGGAGGA
rnacentral:misc_RNA from 1 species